rnacentral:rRNA from 1 species
UACGUAGGGUGCAAGCGUUAAUCGGAAUUAUUGGGCGUAAAGCGUGCGUAGGCGGUUUUGUAAGUCUGUCGUGAAAUCCCCGGGCUUAACCUGGGAAUUGCGUUGGAGACUGCAAGGCUGGAGUCUGGCAGAGGGGGGUAGAAUUCCACGUGUAGCAGUGAAAUGCGUAGAGAUGUGGAGGAACACCGAUGGCGAAGGCAGCCCCCUGGGUCAAGACUGACGCUCAUGCACGAAAGCGUGGGGAGCAAACAGG